UACGAAGGGGGCUAGCGUUGCUCGGAAUGACUGGGCCUAAAGCAUCCGUAGCCGGUUCUGCAAGUCUUCCGUUAAAUCCACCUGCUUAACAGAUGGGCCGCGGAAGAUACUAUAGAGCUAGGAGGCGGGAGAGGCAAGCGGUACUCGAUGGGUAGGGGUAAAAUCCGUUGAUCCAUUGAAGACCACCAGUGGCGAAGGCGGCUUGCCAGAACGCGCUCGACGGUGAGGGAUGAAAGCUGGGGGAGCAAACCGG
rnacentral:rRNA from 1 species